UACAGCGCUGCCGUAUUACUCCACACAUUAAUGCGGCGGCGUUAAAUAAAGGAGGAUAUAGAUCCGUAUGGCUUGCGGUGUAGCAGUGUGGAGACCUGCUAUAAUGCGUACGGUGGAGUAUCUGUACGCGAGGCGUGUUUUGCGGAGGCUGAUGCGCCAGAGCCAAAGAAUAUGGCA
rfam:Christensenella minuta strain DSM 22607 genomic scaffold Scaffold108, whole genome shotgun sequence.